GGCUUCUGAGUAGCAAACCACUGAGCAUCCAACUUCUCGAUACCUUUAAUCUCAAACCCAAGCUUUUCAAUUAAUAAUGAACAUAGAGUGCUUUCUAAGGCGCCAUUAUUGGGAUUCGAUAUCUCAAUAGUAACAAAAAUGGAAUCACCAGGUCUAUAUACAUCUUUAUUUGUUUGUAGUUUGAUUGUUGGUGCAAGUUCACUUUUUAUACCAUCCGACAAAUUAUUAACCUUGUUCGAACCCCCAAUACCAAAAAAUGACAAUCUAGAUGUCAACAUACUGCCAACUAUUGUUGCUCAAUUAUUUCUAUUCUUCUUCAAGUUCUAAAUUAAUUAGUGGGAAAGCACAUGAACAAGUUCAAAUAAUAACCACAACAUUAUCCUUGUCCAGGGAUUGGAUGAGAGGAUGAUUUUCAUUGAAAUUAGAUUGCUUUUGAGUUGAAAGGUUUCUAUCUGCUCUAUUCAUUACCCGAUUUGGAAAAUGAAAUUCAAUGUGGAUUUCGGCUGAGAAGGAGGUUUUUUUUUUUUUUUUUUUUUUUUU
rnacentral:misc_RNA from 1 species